rnacentral:rRNA from 1 species
UGGGGAAUAUUGCACAAUGGACGGAAGUCUGAUGCAGCAACGCCGCGUGCGGGAUGACGGCCUUCGGGUUGUAAACCGCUUUUUCUCAUGACGAAGUUUUUUGACGGUAGUGGGGGAAGAAGCACCGGCUAACUACGUGCCAGCAGCCGCGGUGAUACGUAGGGUGCGAGCGUUGUCCGGAAUUAUUGGGCGUAAAGAGCUUGUAGGCGGUUUGUCGCGUCGAUAGUGCAAACUCAGUGCUUAACGCUGAGCCUGCUGUUGAUACGGGCAGACUAGAGGAAGGUAGGGGAGAAUGGAAUUCCCGGUGGAGCGGUGGAAUGCGCAGAUAUCGGGAGGAACACCGGUGGCGAAGGCGGUUCUCUGGGCCUUUCCUGACGCUGAGAAGCGAAAGCGUAGGGAGCGAACAGG